rnacentral:rRNA from 1 species
GACGAACGCUGGCGGCAUGCCUAAUACAUGCAAGUCGAGCGAACAGAUGAAGUGCUUGCACUUCUGACGCUAGCGGCGAACGGGUGAGUAACACGUAAGGAAUCUACCUAUAAGCGGGGGACAACAUUCGGAAACGGGUGCUAAUACCGCAUAAUAUCUUCUUCCGCAUGGAAGAAGAUUGAAAGACGGCUCUGCUGUCACUUAUAGAUGACCUUGCGGUGCAUUAGUUAGUUGGUGGGGUAAUGGCCUACCAAGACGAUGAUGCAUAGCCGACCUGAGAGGGUGAUCGGCCACAUUGGGACUGAGACACGGCCCAAACUCCUACGGGAGGCAGCAGUAGGGAAUCUUCCGCAAUGGGCGAAAGCCUGACGGAGCAAUGCCGCGUGAGUGAAGAAGGCCUUCGGGUCGUAAAACUCUGUUAUAAGAGAAGAACAAAUUGUAGAGUAACUGCUACAGUCUUGACGGUAUCUUAUCAGAAAGCCACGGCUAACUACGUGCCAGCCGCCGCGGUAA